rnacentral:rRNA from 1 species
UAGGGAAUAUUGCUUAAUGGGCGCAAGCCUGAAGCAGCAACGCCGCGUGUGCGAUGAAGGCCUUCGGGUUGUAAAGCACUUUUAGCUGGGAAGAGGAAGGACGGUACCAGCUGAAUAAGCCUCGGCUAACUACGUGCCAGCAGCCGCGGUAAAACGUAGGAGGCGAGCGUUAUCCGGAUUUACUGGGUGUAAAGCGCGUGCAGGCGGUUUGGUAAGUUGGGUGUGAAAGCUCCUGGCUCAACUGGGAGAGGUCGCUCAAGACUGCCAGACUUGAGAGUGGUAGGGGAAGGUGGAAUUCCGGGUGUAGUGGUGAAAUGCGUAGAUAUCCGGAGGAACACCAGUGGCGAAGGCGGCCUUCUGGGGCCACAUCUGACGCUCAGACGCGAAAGCUAGGGUAGCAAACGGGAUUAGAGACCCCGGUAGUCCUAGCCGUAAACGAUGUGAACUUGGCGCUGGGGCGGUAAAACGGUUCAGUGCCGAAGCAAAACGCGAUAAGUUCACCACCUGGGG